rnacentral:rRNA from 1 species
AACUAACGCUGGCGGCGUGCCUAACACAUGCAAGUCGUACGAGAAAGCCGGCUUCGGCUGGUGAGUAAAGUGGCGCACGGGUGAGUAACGCGUGGAUAAUCUGCCCUUAAGUGUGGAAUAACGUACCGAAAGGUGCGCUAAUACCGCAUAAUGCCUGGCAACACAAGUUGUCCGGCCAAAGAAGGCCUCUGUUUACAAGCUUUCGCUUCAGGAUGAGUCCGCGUACCAUUAGCUAGUUGGUGAGGUAACGGCCCACCAAGGCGACGAUGGGUAGCCGGCCUGAGAGGGUGAACGGCCACACUGGGACUGAGACACGGCCCAGACUCCUACGGGAGGCAGCAGUUGGGAAUCUUCGGCAAUGGGCGCAAGCCUGACCGAGCAACGCCGCGUGAGUGAUGAAGGUUUUCGGAUUGUAAAGCUCUGUCUUCCGGGACGAUAAUGACGGUACCGGAGGAGGAAGCCACGGCUAACUACGUG